rnacentral:rRNA from 1 species
AACGAACGCUGGCGGCAGGCCUAACACAUGCAAGUCGAGCGCCCCGCAAGGGGAGCGGCAGACGGGUGAGUAACGCGUGGGAAUCUACCCAUCUCUACGGAAUAACGCAUGGAAACGUGUGCUAAUACCGUAUACGUCCUUCGGGAGAAAGAUUUAUCGGAGAUGGAUGAGCCCGCGUUGGAUUAGCUAGUUGGUGGGGUAAAGGCCUACCAAGGCGACGAUCCAUAGCUGGUCUGAGAGGAUGAUCAGCCACACUGGGACUGAGACACGGCCCAGACCCCUACGGGAGGCAGCAGUGGGGAAUAUUGGACAAUGGGCUCAAGCCUGAUCCAGCCAUGCCGCGUGAGUGAUGAAGGCCCUAGGGUUGUAAAGCUCUUUCACCGGUGAAGAUAAUGACGGUAACCGGAGAAGAAGCCCCGGCUAACUUCGUGCCAGCCGCCGCGGUAACAC